rnacentral:rRNA from 1 species
GAUGAACGCUGGCGGCGUGCCUAAUACAUGCAAGUCGAGCGAACGGACGAGAAGCUUGCUUCUCUGAUGUUAGCGGCGGACGGGUGAGUAACACGUGGAUAACCUACCUAUAAGACUGGGAUAACUUCGGGAAACCGGAGCUAAUACCGGAUAAUAUUUUGAACCGCAUGGUUCAAAAGUGAAAGACGGUCUUGCUGUCACUUAUAGAUGGAUCCGCGCUGCAUUAGCUAGUUGGUAAGGUAACGGCUUACCAAGGCAACGAUGCAUAGCCGACCUGAGAGGGUGAUCGGCCACACUGGAACUGAGACACGGUCCAGACUCCUACGGGAGGCAGCAGUAGGGAAUCUUCCGCAAUGGGCGAAAGCCUGACGGAGCAACGCCGCGUGAGUGAUGAAGGUCUUCGGAUCGUAAAACUCUGUUAUUAGGGAAGAACAUAUGUGUAAGUAACUGUGCACAUCUUGACGGUACCUAAUCAGAAAGCCACGGCUAACUACGUGCCAGCAGCCGCGGUAAUACGUAGGUGGCAAGCGUUAUCCGGAAUUAUUGGGCGUAAAGCGCGCGUAGGCGGUUUUUUAGUCUGAUGUGAAAGCCCACGGCUCAACCGUGGAGGGUCAUUGGAAACUGGAAAACUUGAGUGCAGAAGAGGAAAGUGGAAUUCCAUGUGUAGCGGUGAAAUGCGCAGAGAUAUGGAGGAACACCAGUGGCGAAGGCGACUUUCUGGUCUGUAACUGACGCUGAUGUGCGAAAGCGUGGGGAUCAAACAGGAUUAGAUACCCUGGUAGUCCACGCCGUAAACGAUGAGUGCUAAGUGUUAGGGGGUUUCCGCCCCUUAGUGCUGCAGCUAACGCAUUAAGCACUCCGCCUGGGGAGUACGACCGCAAGGUUGAAACUCAAAGGAAUUGACGGGGACCCGCACAAGCGGUGGAGCAUGUGGUUUAAUUCGAAGCAACGCGAAGAACCUUACCAAAUCUUGACAUCCUUUGACAACUCUAGAGAUAGAGCCUUCCCCUUCGGGGGACAAAGUGACAGGUGGUGCAUGGUUGUUGUCAGCUCGUGUCGUGAGAUGUUGGGUUAAGUCCCGCAACGAGCGCAACCCUUAAGCUUAGUUGCCAUCAUUAAGUUGGGCACUCUAAGUUGACUGCCGGUGACAAACCGGAGGAAGGUGGGGAUGACGUCAAAUCAUCAUGCCCCUUAUGAUUUGGGCUACACACGUGCUACAAUGGACAAUACAAAGGGCAGCGAAACCGCGAGGUCAAGCAAAUCCCAUAAAGUUGUUCUCAGUUCGGAUUGUAGUCUGCAACUCGACUACAUGAAGCUGGAAUCGCUAGUAAUCGUAGAUCAGCAUGCUACGGUGAAUACGUUCCCGGGUCU